rnacentral:rRNA from 1 species
GGGGGGGGGGGGGGGGGGGGGGGGGGGGGGGAGGGGGGGCGGAGGGGCGCGGGUGGUGGGGGGUGUGCGGGGGGCGGACGGGUGAGUGGCACGGGGGUAACGUGCGCUUGCCGGUGGGAUGACGGGGGGAGACUGGGGCGACUACCGGGUAGGAGCGCCUGCGGCAUGGUGGGGGUUGGAAGGUUUCGGCGGGUGGGGAUGGCCUCGCGGCUUAUCAGCUUGUUGGUGGGGUAGUGGCUUACCAAGGCUUUGACGGGUAGCCGGCCUGAGAGGGUGACCGGCCACAUUGGGACUGAGAUACGGCCCAGACUCCUACGGGAGGCAGCAGUGGGGAAUAUUGCACAAUGGGCGGAAGCCUGAUGCAGCAACGCCGCGUGCGGGAUGACGGCCUUCGGGUUGUAAACCGCUUUCGCCUGUGACGAAGCGUGAGUGACGGUAAUGGGUAAAGAAGCACCGGCUAACUACGUG